rnacentral:piRNA from 1 species
UGGACCAGCUUGUGAUGGACAGCUUGA